rnacentral:lncRNA from 1 species
CUCUGGGGAAGGGCCAGCCCAGGGUUACAGAGUGAGGGUGGGGGCAGAGGUGGGCCCACUGUUACCUUCCUUGUUGGGUUGCUGAGGGCCCCUCUGACUACCCCGCAUAGGAGAUGGACAGGACAGGGAGGAGGAGGAGGUGCUUCGGCCCAUGAGCAGCAUCCCGGAAGACCUGGAGAGCCGAGAGGCCGUGGUGGGGUGGGCACCAGCGUGGCAGCUGAGCACCCUUCCCUCCAGGUGGAGCUGGUGUUGCAUCUUGCCAGCGACCAAGACCAGGGACAUGAGGGAUUGCUGGCAGCUGCCCAGAACCUAAUGAUGAGCCCAUGCCAUGGGCCCCAGAGCCCCAGGAACUUGGGGCUGCUGGCAGGCAGAGUGAUUUCAAAAACACUGUGAAAGGAGAGGCCAGGGAGGGUUCUGCCCGAGACAACCCACCUGAACAUGCUGUGCCAAGUACGAUCCAGAACGCUCAGGAGCAAGCAGGCUUAGGCAGCAACCCCUGCCUGCCAUUCUUCUAUGGAGCCGGGAAGAUCCAGAUAAUUAACAUCUGAAAGUGGGCACUGUCACCAAGGCCCAGAGAUUUAUAAGCCACCAUGGGACUGUAAAUAUGCUCCAAGCACCAACCUGAAAAGAAAAAAAAAAUAUUUAAGUCGUUAUAAAAUACUGGCCGGGUGUGGUGGCUCAUGCCUGUAAUCCCAGCACUUUGGGAGGCUGAGGUAGGGGGAUCCCUGAGGCAGGAGAAUUGCUUGAACCCUGAAGGCUGAGAUUGAAAUGAGCUGGGAUCGCGCCACUGCACUUCAGCCUAGGCGACAGACAUUGUCUCAAAAAAAAAAAAAAGGAAAAAUACUGUUAAAAUUUACUAUGAUAAUAAAAGUUAUUUUAAAGUUUCUACCUGAGGACUCUCAUAUCUAUGUAUGUUUCUAU